ensembl:lncRNA
GGGAUAAGGUUACGAAAAGUCACAGAGUAAGCAUUAGGAUUAAGGCUCAAGGUGUGGGGAGAAAUCUUCCGGAUGUGUUUUCUAAACCCCAAGGAAACCAUAAGGGGCUAGAGGGACCUGGCUCAGCAAGUUAGGCAUUAACUGAGAGGACAAGGUGUUGACUUUGGAAAACCGGGUCAGCUCAAGUCAGAAAACUGCUUGAGAAAACACUGAUUGUUCCUCAAGAUGUCAUGCCUAGAUAGCUAACACCAGCCUCAUUGAUGCCCUUUAGAGUAAAGGUCGGAGUUCAAAUUCAAGGUGACUGGAGGCCGAGGGCCUUGGGGUGUCUAUUUUCUCACAUUGUUUACCUUCCUGAGAGCAUAAUAAAGACGAUGAGGCGUCGGCAUUCAGGGCUCUUGACCCAUGACGUCUUGAGUCCCCUGGUCCCAUCUUUAACUGUACCCUGUCUCUGUGUCUUUCUUUGUUUCCGAUGAACAUUUCUUAAGCUUUGCAGCACCCGUCCUUCACCUCCACUCACUGAGCUGGUCUCAGCAUCAAAGUAAGAGUCUGAGUAGGAGACGAGGGUCAGGGAAAGGGUCAAGAGUCAAUGUCAGACGAGAGUCACCUUUCAUUUUUAGGGUCAGUAUCAAGGUCAGGGAAAGGAGUAGGAAUUAGUAGCUGAGCCCAUGACCAUUGCCACCCUUGACGGUUGUUCAAGUCAUGGACUACCAAUCCAAACUGGCAAAGUGGGCCAUAAUCUCCAUGUUACUGGGGCUACUUCUUUGAUGGUGAACUGACCUGUGCAAGAUAAGGGUAGAGCAAAGGUUCAAGUGACCCUUAAAACCCUAACCCAUCCUGUUGUACAGACUGCCUGGCCUUAGAGGUUAGAGUCAGGGAUAAAGGGGCUGGGGUCAGAGCGUAAGUGAGCAACCAUUAGUGAGCGACAUUUAGUGGUCCUCUUCAGCCAUUGGUCAGCAUUGUAGUGAGCCUGUCCCCCCAGCAAGUGACAGUGGCUGACCAUUGGCCCCUGCCCCUCCCCUUUCUCAGUAUUAAAAGAGCCUGAAUUAAGACUGAGGCAAGUCUCAAGACACUAGCCUGCCGUCUUCUCCAUCUGCUAGCUUUCUAAUUAAAGUAGCUAUGCAUCGCCCCAACAACUCUUCUUAGAAUUCAUUGGCCUGAGCAGUACAGUGAGCAGAGCAAACUUGGGUUCGGCAACAGGUUUUGGUGAGCCAGCCAGGAGCCUUGCUGUUUGUGACCAGCUGGCCCCAGUUGGGGAGUUUUCUGGUGAGUUCCUAGCAGCUGCCAGGACCACUUGUCCUGAGCAUCUUCCUUUCAAAAUUCCCUAAAGUGGCCCUGGCUGCCCCAGCUCUUGGCGGUUGGAGCAAGGAAUCGACAUUUGGGAGCCACUGGGCUCCAUACAGUAGGGUAAGUCACUCCAGUGAAAGAAAAAAAUGUAAGAAAGGUAGAACAAAGGAAGAAAGACCUAUGAGCUAAUGAAUAAUAGUUGGAAAGGUAAGAAAAUAAAUCAGUAAUUACAUAUGUAAACAAAUAUAUUCAAAAACACAUACCUGCAUGAAUAUAUGAAAAAUUGAAGAAGGCUGUCAGCACAUGAUGGGUCGGGAGCUGAGUGUUUAAAAGCUGUGGCAUCGGGUAGGGUGGCCUCAGGACUCUGAAAGCCUUUGAGAGAGAAAUAGCCCACUUGGUAGGGCCCUUCUUGAUAUUUCAAGAAAGCAGAGGAAGGCAAUCCAACCAGUGUGUUGCCCAAGGCCAAAGCUGCCUCCGGGGGCUGCUCAGCCAGAGGGAGGACGAACACCUGAGAGUUGCUGUUAGUGCAGAUGACCACAAGACGGUGCCAGGGUACUUUCCAGACCCAAGGGCAAGCUCCAAGGCUGCAUGUCGGGGCUCAGCGUUGGGGUUGAUGAUGUGUUUGUGGGAAACCCCAGCCAGCACCCAGAGAUCUGGGGUUGUUUUCCAGGUUAUCUGGGACUCUCUGCUCUAAGUUGCCUCACGUCAGGCAGAGCACACAGCUGUCCUUUUAGCAUUUAAUGUGUGUGCAUUUGCUGCCUGGCCAGGUGGCAGUGUGUUUAUAAUGCUUGAGUGAUCCACUGGGUUUCAGAGCGCCUUGUGUUCCUCCAGGCCAGGAGCCAGAACCCACACAGCCUCUGUUUUGAAUCAUGAACUGUCCAUUUUCAAGCCCCUGACUGCCAAGGGUUUAGCUCUCUGGAUAGAGGCUGGUGCUGAUGAAUGGAUGGUGGACUUCGGUGGCAUUGUGGUGGGUGGUUGUGCUAAUCCCUGUGCAUUUUCUGCUCAUGAGACCUAGUGAAAUGUCUUUCUUGCCUUGCCACACGAGUCUCCCUUUACAGUGACCGCUCCAGGGAAGGAGGCCUGACCGAACCCAGGUCUGAUGAAUUAAGCAGGGUUGAUUGAUACCAAGAAAGCUCUCAGAGAGUUCCCUCGUGGCUGGCUUCCUUAAGAGUCUGUGGCUAUGGUGAGAGUUGCAUAGGGAGAUCAAACCCUGACUGGGCAACUCCCUGAUGUUGCAGGUGGCACCCAAGUAAAUGAAUCAAGAAAAGUAAAUAUUUUGAAGAAGGCGAUAAAGAUGUAAGAAAUUAAUAAACUCAUACACCAGAGAUAAUCACUUCAGGUGAUUAUUAUGUGAAGGAAGAAAAAAGGCUUCCACAGCAUAGUGGGUGGGUUUAGGGUUACAGCAGAGGGGACUCACACAAUAGCCUUGGGUAAGUUGGGCUGAGUGCCCCGAGAGAUUUUGAGAGAGAAAUCCCCCACUUCCUAGGGCACUUCAUGGCGCUCAGAGGGAGAGGAAGUCUCAACGGAAAGCCGCAGUCUUGCCCAACUCCAGUGCAGCCCCCAGGAGAGCUGAGCAGACAGGAGGCAGGCAGCAGCAGAGCUGCUGUUAGGGCCGAUGUCCACAAGACGGCGUCAGAGUACCUUCCUGCGGACCCAUGUGCAGCUCCAAGGCGGCAGGGUCCAGGCUCAGAGAUGUGGCUGAUGAUGCAUUUGUCGGAAGCCUCAGCAGCACCCAGAAAUUCGGGAUUGUUUUCCAGGCACCUGUGACUCUCUGGCCCAAGAUGCCUCAGGUCAGGCAAGGACACAGGGGUGUUUCCUUCAGCAUUUGAUGUGGAUUUGCAGCCUGGUCGUGUGUCACAGCAGUGAGAAAGCUUGACAGUUUCGAUGGGGUCAGAUGGCCUGUUUUUUCUUGAGAGGCAGGAGUCUGGACCCAGAUACCGUCUCUAGUGAGCCCUCAGCUGGUAAUUGUGAUUUUUUUUUUUAAAUGAUUCCUUUCCCAUUGUAGUUGACUUUCAGUGCUCAGUCUACCCUAUAGCCAAGUGACCCAGGCUGACAUCUCUAUCCACACAUCCUUUUUGUCCAUUUAUCCUCCAUCAUGUUCCAUCACAGGUGACUAGAUAGCACUGCCUGUGCUAUGCAGCAGGAUCUCAUUGCUUACCCACUCCAGAUGCCAUAGUUGGCAUCUAUGAACCCCCAACUCCCAGUCAUCCCCACUCCCUCCCCCUCCCCUUUGACAAGUCUGUUCUUCAAUUCCAUGGGUUUCUUUUCUAUGAAAAGGUUUAUUUUUACCAUUUGUUAGAUUUCAGAUAUAAGUGAUAUCAUAUGGUAUUUGUUUUUCUCUUUCUGACUUAUUUCACUAAGGAUGAAUGUUCCUUUUCUAUCCAUGUUGCUGCUGCACAUGGCAUGAUUGUGUUCUUUUUUUAUGGCUGAGUAGUAUUCCAUUGUGUACAUGUACCACCUCUUCUUAAUCCAUUCAUCUCUCAGUGGACAUUUGGUUGUUUCCAUUUCUUGGCUAUUGUAACUAGUGCUGCAAGGAAUACAGGGGUGCAUGUGUCUUUUUCCAGGAAUGUUUUGUCUGGCUAUAUGCCCAAUGCUGGGUUUGCUGGGUCAAAAUGUCCUUCUAUAUUUAGUUUUCUGAGGUGCCUGUAUACUGUUUUCCAUGGUGGUUGUACCCAUUUACAUUCCCACCGGCAGUGUAGGAGGGUACCCUUUCUCCACACCCUCUCCAGCAUUUGUUAUUUGUAGACUUACUAAUGAUGGCCAUUCUGACUGGUGUGAGGGGUCCCCCAUAGUAGUUUGGAUUUGCAUUUCUCUAACAAUGAAGGAUGGUGAACAUUUUUUCAUGGGCUAGUUGGCCAUGUGUAUGUCUUGUUUGGAUACAUUUCUAUUUAUAUCUUUUGCCCAUUUUUCAAUUGGAUUGUUGUCUUAUUUGCUGUUGAGUGGUAUCAGCUGUUGAGCAGGUAAUUUUGAACCCCCCGCCUGACUGGGGUUUGGGAUCUGGAUAAAGUGCCUACACCUGGUGAAUGGAAGGUGGUGAAACGGUGAUCUUCUGGGGAGAAGCUGUGCUCCUCCCUGGGCUUUUUCUCUCCAGAGGUCUCCUGAAUAAACCUGGUAUGUGUUAGGGGCUACACGGGGGUCACUGUUACAAUGGCUCUUUCUGCUGACCCGUGGGACCGACCACCUUGCUCAAGCGACAUCCUGUUUUCACCACAGGUGCUGGCUUUGCCAAGACUACGAGACUGCCCUCCCAUGGGACACCACACACCUCUGGCUUUCCCAAGAUGACGAGACCCCCCUACCGUGGGACACCACACACCUCUGGCUUUCCCAAGACUGUGAGACCACCCCCCUAUGGGACACCACACACCUCUGGCUUUGUCAAGAUUCCGAGACCACCAGAGUCCAGCUGCAGGUGAAAGGUCAACUAACCUUCUCCCCCAGCUUCAGGGAAUCAAUUUCCCAUCCACAGGGUAUAAGAAGGCCCCAGCAGAAGUGGGGGGGGCUGGCUCUUCUCAGGGUCAGUCACCCUCUCCUUUCCCUCUAAUAAAUUUCCUUCUCUUUGUUG